UACGUAGGGGGCAAGCGUUGUCCGGAUUUAUUGGGCGUAAAGAGCGUGUAGGCGGCCAGGUAGGUCCGUUGUGAAAACUCGAGGCUCAACCUCGAGAUGUCAUCGGAAACCAUCUGGCUAGAGUCCGGAAGAGGAGAGUGGAAUUCCUGGUGUAGCGGUGAAAUGCGCAGAUAUCAGGAAGAACACCAAUGGCGAAGGCAGCUCUCUGGGACGGUACUGACGCUGAGACGCGAAAGCGUGGGGAGCGAACAGG
rnacentral:rRNA from 1 species